UAACGCGAAGAACCUUACCUAGGCUUGACAUGCACGGAAAUCUUCCAGAGAUGGGAGGUCCGUAAGGGCCGUGCACAGGUGGUGCAUGGUUGUCGUCAGCUCGUGUCGUGAGAUGUUGGGUUAAGUCCCGCAACGAGCGCAACCCUCGUUCUAUGUUGCCAGCACGUGAUGGUGGGGACUCAUAGGAGACUGCCGGGGUCAACUCGGAGGAAGGUGGGGAUGACGUCAAAUCAUCAUGCCCCUUAUGUCUAGGGCUGCAAACAUGCUACAAUGGCCGGUACAAAGGGCUGCGAUACCGCAAGGUGGAGCGAAUCCCAAAAAGCCGGUCUCAGUUCGGAUUGGGGUCUGCAACUCGACCCCAUGAAGUUGGAGUCGCUAGUAAUCGCGGAUCAGCAACGCCGCGGUGAAUACGUUCCCGGGUCUUGUACACACCGA
rnacentral:rRNA from 1 species